rnacentral:rRNA from 1 species
AACGAACGCUGGCGGCAGGCCUAACACAUGCAAGUCGAACGCCCCGCAAGGGGAGUGGCAGACGGGUGAGUAACGCGUGGGAACCUACCUUGAGGUACGGAACAACCAAGGGAAACUUUGGCUAAUACCGUAUGAGCCCUUCGGGGGAAAGAUUUAUCGCCUUGAGAUGGGCCCGCGUCGGAUUAGCUAGUUGGUAGGGUAAUGGCCUACCAAGGCGACGAUCCGUAGCUGGUCUGAGAGGAUGACCAGCCACACUGGGACUGAGACACGGCCCAGACUCCUACGGGAGGCAGCAGUGGGGAAUAGUGGACAAUGGGCGCAAGCCUGAUCCAGCCAUGCCGCGUGUGUGAUGAAGGCCUUAGGGUUGUAAAGCACUUUCGCCGAUGAAGAUAAUGACGGUAGUCGGAGAAGAAGCCCCGGCUAACUUCGUGCCAGCCGCCGCGGUAA